AUUGAACGCUGGCGGCAUGCCUUACACAUGCAAGUCGAACGGCAGCAUGGAGAGCUUGCUCUCUGGUGGCGAGUGGCGAACGGGUGAGUAAUACAUCGAAACGUACCUUAUCGUGGGGGAUAAUGCAGCGAAAGCAGUGCUAAUACCGCAUACGCCCUGCGGGGGAAAGCGGGGGAUCGCAAGACCUCGCGUGAUUAGAGCGGCCGAUGCCUGAUUAGCUUGUUGGUGGGGUAAAAGCCCACCAAGGAGACGAUCAGUAGCUGGUCUGAGAGGACGAUCAGCCACACUGGGACUGAGACACGGCCCAGACUCCUACGGGAGGCAGCAGUGGGGAAUUUUGGACAAUGGGGGCAACCCUGAUCCAGCAAUGCCGCGUGAGUGAAGAAGGCCUUCGGGUUGUAAAGCUCUUUUGUCAGGGAAGAAACACCGGCUCUAACACAGUCCGGGAAUGACGGUACCUGAAGAAUAAGCACCGGCUAACUACGUGCCAGCCGCCGCCGUAA
rnacentral:rRNA from 1 species